UAGAGUCGGGUCUGUCCCCUCAGGCUGUGGCCCGUCAUCUGGUACAUGGUCCUCUGUCCCUUCCGCACGCGCUUGUUCCGGGCAGUGGUCACAAAUCCCCGUCUCCUCUUCCCCCGUGGGGUCUCCCACCUUCUCUGACAUCCGCGCCCACAGGAGGCCCCGAUGGUCCCUGUCAACCAUCUCAUUUCUUUUCUUUCUCAUCAACGUCAUGUGGAGACGUGGUCAACGCUCCAGUGUCCCGGACCUGCCUGGGAAAGCGGCUCUGCACUACGGGGGCUCUAAGGAGACUGUGGGGUCUCCACCCAGUGCUGAGGACAGCGGCCCUUGGACCCCAAAUGCAGACAAGGACGAGGGAAGAGAAGAAGAGCCCAGAAGGAUAUGCCCCAUGGAUGGGGACACAGCGUUGUCAGUCACACAGCAGACCAUUUACACUCAGUGUGGCUCUUCCUACAGGUCAGUGCAAGUGUCUCAUCUUGCUUUUCAUUUCUAUUUGUCCCAUCGUUCCUUCUUCCCAUUUUUCUUUUCCUGCCACUAUUUUCAUGAACUGAGUGUGUUUUAGGAUGCGAUUUCAUCUCCUUUAUUGAUUUACCGGCCAAAGUUGCAUUCCCAAGUCUUCACUGGGAGUUACCUGUGGCACAUCGGGUUUAGGAAACGGCCUUGUCAUUGCAGCAGCAGUUUGGGUCACGGCUGUGGUGCCAGUUUGAUCCCGGGCCUGGAACUUCCACAUGCCUCAGCUGUGGCCAAAAAAAAAA
rnacentral:lncRNA from 1 species